GAGCAUAGCUCAGCUGGUAGAGCACCUGCCUUACAAGCAGGGGGUCACAGGUUCGAGCCCUGUUGUUCCC
rnacentral:tRNA from 1 species